UCCCGUGGAAGACCCCUUUAAAGGAACCAUAUUAUUUGAUCUACUUUCCCUUUUUCAGUGUAUUUAAAAAAAAAUCAAAGAGUGUUUUUACUUGGCUUAGACUCAAAUCACUAAUUCUGCUGCUUUUACUCUAUUCACAGUAUAUGAACCACUUUGCUGCGGCCAAAUCCAUCUUUCUGCUGCUGUGACUUCAGUCUUUCAGAUAAUGUUAGUGGCUGUUCAUGAUUGAAAAGACUGAGAGAUUUGGUGGCCAAUACGAGAUACAGUUAUCUCAACCAAAGAAAAAUCAGUCUGAAUUUGUCUAGCUUCAAAUUAAAGGCAAAAUAUUUACUGCCUUCAAUGGGAACCAUUGCUAAAUAUCUUGUACAAAGAAAAGCUUUACCCCCUGAGGAAAAUAACUCUUCUUCAGUCAAGUAAUAAGCAAUCCAAUGGAGAGGUGAAGCAAAAUCCAAAGAAGUACAGCAGUACUCAAAGUUCCAGAGGAAGUUCCGAAAGCCCAGGGUAAAAGCAACAAGAUGGUCUGCAAUAAGUGGAAAAUUCCUCACAGACUAAAUAUGCUGUAUAAAUAUUGUUUUGUCUCACUGUUGCUGAAGCAGAGUUAGAAUAAAAUAAGUGUUUAUUUAACCUAAAUAACUUCCUGUAAAAAGCACAAAUUAAAGU